rnacentral:rRNA from 1 species
AACGCUAGCUACAGGCUUAACACAUGCAAGUCGAGGGGAAACGAUGGGAGGGCUUGCCCUCCCAGGCGUCGACCGGCGCACGGGUGAGUAACACGUAUCCAACCUGCCCUCUUCCGGGGAACAACCUUGCGAAAGUAAGACUAAUGCCCCAUGUGUCCUCAGACGGCAUCAGACGAGGACGAAAGAUUUAUCGGAAGUGGAUGGGGAUGCGCCUGAUUAGGCAGUUGGCGGGGCAACGGCCCACCAAGCCGACGAUCAGUAGGGGUUCUGAGAGGAAGGUCCCCCACAUUGGAACUGAGACACGGUCCAAACUCCUACGGGAGGCAGCAGUGAGGAAUAUUGGUCAAUGGGCGGGAGCCUGAACCAGCCAAGUAGCGUGCAGGACGACGGCCCUAUGGGUUGUAAACUGCUUUUGCGCGGGGAUAGAGUGCGCCACGUGUGGCUCAUUGCAGGUACCGCGCGAAUAAGGACCGGCUAAUUCCGUGCCAGCAGCCGCGGUAAUACGGAAGGUCCGGGCGUUAUCCGGAUUCAUUGGGUUUAAAGGGAGCGCAGGCCGCCCCUUAAGCGUGUUGUGAAAUGCCGCGGCUCAACCGUGGCACUGCAGCGCGAACUGGGGGGCUUGAGUGCGCGCAGCGCAGGCGGAACUCGUGGUGUAGCGGUGAAAUGCUUAGAUAUCACGAAGAACUCCGAUUG